rnacentral:rRNA from 1 species
UACGAAGGGGGCUAGCGUUGCUCGGAAUCACUGGGCGUAAAGCGCACGUAGGCGGAUUGUUAAGUCAGGGGUGAAAUCCUGGAGCUCAACUCCAGAACUGCCUUUGAUACUGAGGAGCUUGAGUCCGGAAGAGGUGAGUGGAACUCCGAGUGUAGAGGUGAAAUUCGUAGAUAUUCGCAAGAACACCAGUGGCGAAGGCGGCUCACUGGCCCGAUACUGACGCUGAGGCACGAAAGCGUGGGGAGCAAACAGGG